rnacentral:rRNA from 1 species
UACGUAGGGUGCGAGCGUUGUCCGGAAUUAUUGGGCGUAAAGAGCUCGUAGGCGGUUUGUUGCGUCUAUCGUGAAAACCUGCGGCUUAACUGUGGGCUUGCGGUGGAUACGGGCAGACUUGAGUUCGGUAGGGGAGACUGGAAUUCCUGGUGUAGCGGUGAAAUGCGCAGAUAUCAGGAGGAACACCGGUGGCGAAGGCGAGUCCCUGGACAAUACCUGACACUGAGGCACGAAAGCCGGGGGAGCAAACAGG